CUUCUGGACUUGAGAUUCCUCGCACGUCCUACAAACAGGUCUGUGAAGUUCUUAUCCGGUUGGUGAAGAAGGAACAGUGGAGAUGAAUCCCGCAGCGCUCUCGAUUCUUCUUCUGUCUGCCGCGGCAUUGCUGGAGCUUCCACAGAUAAAAUGUGAGGACCCAAUAGAAAUGAACUUGGCUGAAGAUGCCCUCGAUGAUCAAUAUGACGGCUGUAGAAAUGAAAUGUUAAAGAAAUUUAACCAUGAAUAUAUUCUAAAAGAAUUAGGUGCAUACCCAAAACUACAUGAGGCAUGGAUAGAAGCAGAGAAAAUAAUGAACGAUUCAAAAUAUAAGGAAUUGAGUCUUCUCCAAGCCACGGCAAUCCGUGUUUACACUAUGGACAGUAAGCAUAAUCACAGCGCCACGUUAAACGAUAAAGUUAGAACAGGAGGAAACAAUUACAGCAACUUUCCAUUCAAGGCGUGGCAUUUUCAUUUGACAGACGCCCUGCAAACACUGAAAGCCAAGGAGCCGAAAUGCUAUGACGUGUUCAGAGGAGUAAAAAAUCGUACGAAGGUUGUAGGGGACAUUGUACGAUUUGGGCAGUUUGCUUCAACCUUUG